rnacentral:ncRNA from 2 species
GCCUGAGGAGCGCUGCAACGGUUAGCAGAUAUUAACUCGCUAACCGCUAGGCUCAGGCAAUCAUUUAGAUUAACUGCGCUCAUUCAAU